rnacentral:snRNA from 1 species
ACGUCUACGAACGUAGACAUGGCCGACACGAGUUAGUGUAGUAUCGUUCUUAUCAGCUUAAUACCUGAUACGGGUUGUAUUUGUACCCAAGACCUUAAACUUAAUUUUGCAAGCUGGCGGAGUGUUUGAAGCCUGCUUCGCCUCCGCCGUGGGUCCGCCCGGUAUAGCACCAUCUCCGGUAUCAACUCACGUUUU